UUUUUCCCCACAAGUCGUGCCCUAGCCUCCCUCUCUGCCCGACGCCGCUCCUUCCCUGACUCCUCUCCUCCCGAUUCCUCACCGUCUCCAUGUCUUCUCCACCGACAACGCCGCCUCGCCUCGGUUCACCUCCCCUCGCGCGUAAUACAGUGACCAAGAAAAGCCAGCACUUCUCUUCCUCCUCUUCUCGUCUCUGCCCUAGAGCCUCUGCCCCGAUUUCCCCUCUUCCUUCUCUGCCUCUUCAUCAUCGGCGACCACCGAUCGUGAGGUGUAGGCCGCCGUGCGACCUUCUCGCUGUGGAUGUAGAUCAUCGUUGCUAGGGUUGAUCCACCGAUCUCCCCUGCUAUGACACUGUUCCCUAGUCCCGACAUCACCGUCGAGCCCUAGCUUCUGUACCCGACGCCGGUAGAGGACUUGCUGCACUGACCUUCGCUAGAGCAGGUCGAGACCAGCGCUAUGACGUCCACGAUCUACCAUCGUCGACCCACUGCUGCCCUGCCAUGGCCACCACUCGGGGUCCUUAUACCGUCGCCAUCCCUUUGCUCCGGUUCACUUCCUCAGUAGCCACCCACUUUAACCUAGCAUCGCUGAUUCCCCUCCCUUUACCCUCUUCCUUUGCUAAAGAGGAUCAGAUUUUGGACAGGAGCAAGGAAUCCAAGCCCUAGUCUCACCCUCUGUUAAAUCUCCGGAAGAACUUGAUAUUGAGUUAGCAUCUUCUGCGAAUUUCGACAGUGGGUUCGUCAGGAUUGGUUCAGCGGCUGAGGCAUCAAUUUUGGGUUGAGGAUGUCCGGAGAGUUCCAAUCCCUAGUCCCCCUGCAGAUCGCGAGGAUAUUUAUUUGGUCAUUUGGUUUUUCUUAUGAUGCUAUAUAGAUUACGUUUUAGACUUGUACUAGUUUUGUUCUAUGGAUUACUGUAUGGUCUUUCAUUAGUCGAUGGGUUUUCUUUUUAUAUUUAUUGGAUAUGUUCUGCUACAUGCCUGCCUGGGCGGCAGAAGAGGUGAGUUGAUUUUUUUUACGUCGUUGUGAUUUGUGUUUUAUGGGUGUAGUUGAGUAGGAUAUAAGUUUUAAGCUUUAUGGGUGUAGUUGAGUAGGAUUUUUGAGAUGAUUUUCCUUAUCGUUGCAUUAGUUUAGUUUUACUAUUAAACUGCGUAGUAUGUUAUCAUAUAUAUUGUUUUGACCAUGUUGGUCGAGUAUAAGUAUGUUGUAGGAAGUUUCAGAUUGUCACCCGUACAGGUAGAUGCUACCGAAAUUUCUUCUGGCAGGGACUCCCUCAGGGCGUGACAAUUAUAGACUCAGGAGUCACAGACCAUGUAGCUCAUGAUAGGAGUGCAUAUGUAAAAUUCUGCCAUUUAAGCCCACAUGCGAGAAGACUAUACGUGGGAUAUGGGGCAUUUGUGGAGGUGAGAGGGAUUGACACUUGCAAGAUGUUGAUUAAAAUAAUCAAAUACUGUAUCUCCAUGACGUGUUAUAUGCUCCAGAAAUAAGGCAGAAUCUAGUUUUAUUCGUAGUCUAGACCAGUUAGGAUAUUGUAUUGUAAUUAGAAACUCUGAGGUUUUCAUCUCGUAUGAUAGUACUUUAAUAUGUUCUAGUUUAUUCUAUGAGGGACUAUA